rnacentral:rRNA from 1 species
AAUAGAUACCCAGGUAGUCCACGCCGUAAACGAUGGAUACUAGCUGUUGGAGGUAUCGACCCCUUCAGUAGCGAAGCUAACGCGUUAAGUAUCCCGCCUGUGGAGUACGGUCGCAAGACUAAAACAUAAAGGAAUUGACGGGGACCCGCACAAGCGGUGGAUCGUGUUCUUUAAUUCGAUGCUAAACGAAGAACCUUACCAGGGCUUGACAUCCCUUGAAUUAAUCCGAAAGGAUUGAGUGCUUUAUUGAACAAGGUGACAGGUGUUGCAUGGCCGUCGUCAGCUCGUGUCGUGAGAUGUUUGGUUAAGUCCAUCAACGAGCGCAACCCUUGCAAGUAGUUGUAUUUUUCUACUUGGACUGCCCCGGCAACGGGGAGGAAGGAGGGGAUGAUGUCAGGUCAGUAUUACCCUUACGUCCUGGGCUAGAAACACGAUACAAUGGCAAGUACAAUGCGCAGCGAAGCCGCGAGGUGAAGCAAAUCGCAUCAAAGCUUGUCCCAGUUCGGAUUGGAGGCUGAAACUCGCCUCCAUGAAGUCGGAA